rnacentral:rRNA from 1 species
UACGUAGGGCGCAAGCGUUGUCCGGAAUUAUUGGGCGUAAAGAGCUCGUAGGCGGCCUGUUGCGUCCGCUGUGAAAUCCCGGGGCUCAACCCCGGGCCUGCAGUCGAUACGGGCAGGCUAGAGUUCGGCAGGGGAGACUGGAAUUCCUGGUGUAGCGGUGAAAUGCGCAGAUAUCAGGAGGAACACCGGUGGCGAAGGCGGAUCUCUGGGCCUGUUCUGACGCUGAGGCGCGAAAGCUAGGGGAGCGAACAGG